AAGCGUCCGCCCACGCUGUUACUCAGCCGGAACCCGGCGGGUGGAGAGGAGGCCAGUGCUUUGUGCGCGGCCGGAGGAGCCCGGAGCCGCAAAGCACCGCCCCUUCCUGGAAGAAGCGCUUCUCCUCCCCGCCGCGGUGCAGGUGCGGCCGCCCGGACCGCCGCCAGGUGUUGUAAGUGAUGCAUGUGAUCCUCUCUCAGGGAGGCCAAGAGGAAGAAGUGAUCCUACGUAUCACGCCAUAUAUGUUGCAGUACUUGGACACAUCAAGCCAGCAUGGAUGGGAAGAAAUGCAGUGUGUGGAUGUUUUUACCACUUGUGUUCACCCUGUUCACUUCAGCCGGGUUAUGGAUAGUAUACUUCAUAGCAGUGGAAGAUAACAAAAUUCUCCCAUUAAACCUGCCAGAUAGGAAACCUGGUUCCAAAAGUCCACCAUAUAUAAGUAUCGCAGGUGAUGCCCCUCCUGCAAGCUGUGUCUUUAGCCAAGUCAUGAAUAUGGCUGCAUUUCUAGCACUUGUCGUUGCAGUUCUCCGUUUCAUACAGCUGAAGCCAAAGGUGCUAAACCCUUGGCUGAAUGUUAGUGGGCUGGUCGUAUUAUGCUUGGCCUCAUUUGGAAUGACCUUACUCGGCAACUUUCAGCUUUCCAAUGAUGAAGAGAUACAUAAUGUUGGCACCUCCCUGACAUUUGGUUUUGGAACCCUGGCCUGCUGGAUUCAGUCUGCCUUGACGCUCAAAAUAAACUUAAAGAAUGAAGGACGAAAAGUUGGAAUCCCACGAGUCCUCUUAUCUGCUACUAUAACCCUGUGUGUGGUCCUUUCUGCAAAGAAAGUAGCAACAAACACGCAUUUCAGAUGCCUGGCAGAGGCUCCUCUGGACCAUUACACUUGAAAGGCAGAGGGAAAACAUUCCAAACUCAACAGCCUGGUGACUUGUUUUUAGGGAAGGAGAGAGAAGGAAGAGGGUUCAGAAAAAAAUACUCAACCUUCAGGUUUUGAAGACGGUUUGCCCAGCAGAAGUAAUACCCUUUGCUUUACUUUCAAGCAGUUGUAGCAAGCUGCUCAGAGGCUGCUUCUGCUGGACAGAAUGAACCCUUCCCAUUUAAGGAUCUGAACAGCUGAAGCAGGCUGUGAGGGGGGGAAUGAGAUGAGGAUGCAGCCACAGGAUCUAUCAGAGCAGUUGUUACAAACUAUUUGGGGUGGAGAAAAAGAGGCAAGGGAAAAGGGUUCCUGAAGGAAGGAAAGCCGUUACAGUAAUUGUCCUGAGCCAGAUUAAUCCCCAUCUUAACGCUGCAGUAGCUGAACCAGAGAUGAAGCUAUGCCAAAUUCUAUCAAGAAUUGAGCAUCUCAAAGCAGCAAGGGUCCAGGAGAAUGCUGAAAGUUUUGGCAAUGGUGUUUUCAUUGGUAAACCACCCCUGCCCCCUUGCGUGUGAGCCUUUCCUUGACCAUCCAGUAGAUGGCAGUGCAGCAUCCCUGCAUCAGCAAACAUGCCUCCUUCUAGGCAAGAGGCUCCAAGUUUCAUCCUUCAGUUGGUUUCAUAGUCGGAUCAAGGUGCUUCAUGUCGUUUCUCUUACCAAAUUCACAUAGUUAAGAAAUCAGUUGGAAGCUAACUCAACUAGCUGUUUUUUUUAGCCCUGCAGAAUUAAAUUUGGAAGCUGUGUAAAGGGAAAAAGGAGGGGGAAGAAAUAAGUAGCAGUGUGUCAUGCUGAUAGAAGCCUCAUUCUCUACUACUUUGUUCUAUUGCUGCAUGUUUCACUGGACCUAUGCACUCAUGGAUGAGAGCCCCAGCAGGCUAGAUGCUACAGAAACCCAGAAGGAGAUGACACACCCUGCCCUAAAGAGCUUUAUAAAAAGGCUGACGUCCUGUUGGCAUUCCUCCUCUUCCCAGUGUACACGCAAAUACUCCUGGACAUUAUCUCUGAUGUAAGGAAACAAAGUGUCCUAGUAACACACAACAGAAAACACACAUGACUCAUUUAAACUUGGUCAUACACAGAGGUAAGUUCCCCUUAAAGAGACAGUGUAUUUGUGAUUAUUUUCUUAAAGCUGCUCAGUUUGUAUAAUCUAAGCUUUGGUGAACAGUCUUACAAAGUGAAUAAAAUGCUCAGUUGUUAAUGGGAGCCAAACACAGUAAUCCUGGUAGAAGGAGAGAUCCCAGUGGGACCAUGAAGUGGUGCUCAGCUCACCUUGUUCAGGCAAGUGCCACCACUGCUCAGACAACGUGAAAGCAUCAUAGACAUGGAUAUUCUUUUAAAAUUUACAGUGAAGACACAAAGAAAUUAAGGCGGGGAGGGGGCUAAACUACAAUUUCCUAUAAUAAAUCCUUAAAAAUGUAUACAUUUUUGCUCUCUUGUUGAUAUGUAAAAAGCCAAUAAGAAAUUGAUUGAUAAGACAAUGAAAUAGUGAAAUAAUCAAGUGAACUGGAAACCACGCAUGAUUUCUCCCCUUCCUCCCUGCUAGCCAUUUUCAUUGGCAGUUAUUUCAGGUGUUGUUUGUACCACUUGUCAAAGUAGGUACAAAGCUACCUGACAGAAAUGUAAUAUUCAAAUGGAUUCCCUUGGCCCUGCUAGUGAAUGCAUGUGGUUUCAUAAUUACUUGUCAUUUCUUUAAUAUUAGCAGAGAUGUCAGCUUAGAAACAGCAAGACCAAUACUAGCAAAGAAUGAAAAGAAGUGUCACAUCUGACAGUUUAGUGUAUAUCUGGGGAAAAUUAUCUUUCAAAUGGCAUAUGACAUGACCUCUGGCUCCUGAAAGCACAUGAGUUCAAGGCUGACUACUUUCAUACUCAGAACUGCCAAGUUAUGCUAUUUUUUCAAAAGACCCCUUUUCUUUACAAACAGUAUUCUAGAAAUUAAAUUCAACUUAUAUAAUUCUCCAGGUGAAAUUACAUCACAGAGUCUUUUAAAAAAAGUUCUGUCACCACCUUUCAGUUUUACUUUGCAAGACUUUUUUUUUAAGCAAAUAAAAACAGGGUUAGAGGAAAACGUUAAAGAACUGCAGUCAUCUGAGCUAUUAAAGCUGAAUGAAGUCAGUCUUAAAAUUAUGUGUUUGCUAAGAGUACCUCCAAGAAGUCCCAGUCAGGAGCUGUGGAGAUGGGAACAGAAUGGCCUUUGGAAGGGAGUGACACCCAGGGAGAUUUAAGACGGAGCCAAUCUUUAAAGAAAAGGCCUCAUGGAUUGCAUCUGUUUCCUUGAAUCAUUUCAUUCCUUUUCCAGGCCCAGCAUCCUGUCCUAGAUAACAUAUCCCCACUUAACCCUUCCCUGUUCUUCUCUUCCAUUUCAACCUUCAUAGUUCUAAUCCAGUGUUUUUAGCCAGGGUGCUGCUGCAUCUUGGGGUGCCUUAUGAUCCUUCCACGGGCACUGUGAGGUGCCACACAACACUGUUAGCUGCGCAAACAUGAUUCACAAGAUAAAUCCAGAGAUUUAAAAUAGGAAUCCAUGGUGUUACAACAUUCUGACCUGUUGUGGUCUGAGUUCUUUGCAAUGGAAGAAUUGCUCUAUUUUUCUGCAGUUUAAAAAGCAAGUGAAAAGUAGGCGCUGGUAUUUUCUAAGGGAUGCCUUGAGUCUGUCAAGGGGAGCUCUGAGUUUACUGAGGGUGCCUCAAGUCUAAAGAGGUUGAGAACCACUGUUCUAAAUCCUCAGUCCCAGCCCAAGCUACCUGCAACCUUCCUCUAUCACAGUGCCUUUUAAUGGUCUUGGAAGAUUAGUUGGGACUCCAUUUGUUCCUAACUUAGUUACAGAACUGCUUCACAAGUUACUUUUCUCAAGUCAGGCCCUUAGGUGGGACCUGACUUGCUCUUGUGCAAGAAAGGAACAGGAUAGAGAAGGUGAACUGGGCUCAAUCAGUAGAGAAGGCUAAUUUCAACCAAGGGACAAACAGCAGAUAAACUAUCAGUGUGUUAUGACAUCUCCAGAGAAGCAGCACUGUCCUAGUAAACCAAGAUAUUUAGUCAAUAAGCUCAGGUGGGGAGCAGGGAACUGUGCAGGACACAACAUUGCAUAAUUAGAACUUGCAGGUUUAUUCACUGAGUGAACAAAAUGGCCCAGCCUGCCAGAAAAACACAUUCAUUAACUGAAUAACUACUGAUGUGGUGAUCAAGAUCUGAAAGUAGUUAAGUGACACACACGAGAUUUUUUUAAAAGGGCUGUUGCCUCUUCUUUGUAAGCAGAAGCAGUUAGCAACUGUCAAAGCCUGGUGAGUGGGGUCUGGUCUAAUUUUAUUUAUUGCUGAACAUCUUGUAUGGUGGCGAGUGGACAGCUGUAUGUAUCAGAGUUGUUUUGUGACUAAGCAGGCAUGGCUUCUUUUGAAGACAUCCUUUUCCUAAAGUGCUGUAUGGUUACUGGAAUUUUUAAAAAAGGCAUUGAAAGAUGCACUGAAAAUAACCUUCCCUCUUCAACUGUUCAGCUCUUUAGUAUCUGGACAUACUUUAGUAAUUCUCCAAUCACUACAGUCUCUUGUGAUUGUCAAGAACAGAAUUUGUAAUAGUAGAAAAUUGGAGCUAUUUAAACCCCCCCCCCAAAAAAAACAACUAGACUGUUCAGUCUUUUAUUAUAAAAGGGGGAAAAGAUAAACAAAGCAUAUGAUUAUAUUUUUACUCUUGUAUGUCACCCUUAGGGUUGUCAUUUAGACAGCUGUUGCUGAUUUUAUUUUGUAGUUCUCCUGUUUCAGCUGAGAAGAGUUCAGCUGUAGAUGCUGAUCAGAAAAUGCUCUUUGGAGAUAGAAGAGGGAGAAAUUUUCUGAGCUCUAACUAAAAAAGGGAGAAACUUAAAAAAAAAAAAAACACAUUUCACUCAACUAAAAAGAUUAGAGAAAACAAGUUCUUGUUUGGAUAAUUUUUGCUCUUGAAAGCCCUCUGUAAAUGGCAGAAUUGUUGAAUAGUUAGUUGUUUCAUUCUAAUCAAUUUCCCAUGUUCCUACGAAAUAAGAGGGAGAGUGAAGAAGAUAAAAAAAUAUAUUCAAAAGCUCAAAAAAACUGUAAACUAUGUUCCCUUGGACACUGGUGAAAUAUGAUAAUUUGAGCUUUUUACUAAUUACAAUAACUCAUCUUAAAAAAAAAAGAAAAAGAAAAAAGGCUUAAUUUCAAGUUGAUGUAUUUUUUAAACAGUGUGGGGAAAUUUAGGAUAAGCACUAUCUAAGAUGCGUAUAUCCAAAAUAGCUGAUUUGUUGUUUAUGUAGCUCCACAGCAAGUUUUCAACUUUUCUUUUUGACUUUUGCCCUUAUGGUAUAAAGAAUAAAUGGAGAAAAACCAACGCAGUAUUUGUUUUCCCAAGCCUGCAGACAGCCUGAAACUGCACUGGAGAGAGGUGAAGUUUCUUUAUCCCAUUCACCCUGCUGGGCCAGAACCUGUAUGCCAUUGAUGACGACACAAGAAAGUUGAUACCGAUUGUAUCAGCUGGUCAACCUGUGGCACGCAGUGCCACAAGUGGCAUGGGAAACCUUCUGUGUAUGACACGUGGCAGAACAAGGAGAACAGUGGAAAACAGAGCAGGGAACAGAAAGCAAAGCAGCAGGUCAGGCAGGGGAAGGGGACUGGAGUGGCACUUGGGGAAGAUGUGGGGCUUAGUUUGUGGCAUGCCUGCCAAAAAAGUUGGGUCUCCCUGGAUUAUAUCACUGGCUAUUGCUUUUGCAAGUGAAAUGGGUUGGAACUAGCUCAUGGAUUGGGAAGCAGGGGUGAGUUGCUGUGGGGAAGACGACAAGGGAAAAGAUGCCCCUUAUAUUUUUCAUGAGAACAGGAGAACAAAAGAUCAAGAACUGCAGCACUCAUAGAAAAAUUAGGAGGUCAUCUAGUCUAAUCCCCUGCUCAAAACAGGACUAUCCCAAACUAGGUAAUUCCAUUCAGUCCAAUCUUAAAUGUAAAAAUGGUUUUCCCAGUGAAUGAGUGGUAAUGAAUAGGGCAAUCUUCUAGAAAUAAAAUAAGUACAAGUUUAAAGCUUUUUCAUAAAAAAACAAUUUUUCCCUUGAUUUUUAGGCAAACCUCCCACCAACAUCAAAAAGAGGUCUGCUGUAAAUGGAGGGUAGAUAUGAAUCCAUAUCCUGCCCCCAUAAACAUCAAUUUAAAAUGGAGUUCUGUCUUCUCCAUAUAACGCAUCUGACAUGUUAAAAAUAGGGUGUGCAAAAACCCUAAAUCCUUGGAAUGAGCUGAAUUUCUAUAAGUAUGGAUUCCAAGGCUCCUUCCUCAUGAGAUAUAUGACAGGAGAUUAGAAUACCCUGUACAUGAAAAGAGUUUGAUGUAUAAAAUAAAUGAGGUAGAACAGAUUAUCAGCAGCUGAGAAUGUAGAAGGAAAAUUAAGGAGACUGAGCAAACUGUUGUGAAGUCUGUAAUGGCUUGUGAUGAUGUACUUCAAUAAAAUGCCAUUAACAAUUCAAACUGCCUAAUAAAAUUAUCUUUGAAGAGUUCAGCUGAAGCCAGAGAAAAGUUCUCUGACAAAUCUUUAUAGCAACCAGCUACAGGUUAGAGAGAAAUAUGGAACACAGCAAGUUGAGUUGUGACUACCAUUCUGAAGAGAGGCAUCUUAGACCUGUUGAAGAAAACAAAUAUUAAUGGUUAUAAAGAAAGUUAUACUGAAGACCACUGUACUGUGUACUGAAGACCAAUGUAGGUACUGUGCAGGGCAUAUUUAUUGGGUUUUAGAAGUACAAACAUUAGCCCAGGAAGUAAGCCAUUUAAAAGAAGUAUUGAUAAUUUGUUAGUUCAAGAUCAUAAAUAUAUUGUAUCCAUUUGGAAAAGGGCAGAACUAGAAGAAAGAAUGGCUGGAAGAAGACAUAAUUAACAGUUCUUGAAAGCUAUGCUGAUAUGUCCUCAAGUUUGUUAGGGUAAUUCUUGCUUUCUUGAAGGGAAAAUUAUGUUUCAGAAAGUGAUAUCUCUUUCUGAAAAAUGGCACAAUAGAUGUUUAAUUAAUAUGAACAGCUGUCUGUGGUGCUUUCACAAUCUGUCUAACCAGAGUUUGUAACCAGUUAAUUGUACUUCCAGGUUGUGUUGGUGUGGUUAACACUUUUUAACAGUAGUAACUAGCCAUGUUUCACCCUUCUUAGUGGCCUGACUUAGAACAAGCUAUCUUCCAGUGACUAGUUCAUAAGUUAUUUUGCUUUGUUGUUGUGGAUCCCUAACAGGCUUAUACCAGGACUUCCUGCAUUCUAACUUGGUGUGCCACAGGGCAUCGCUAAUGUACCUGGUGCAAUGGUAGUGCUGCUCUUUCUGUGCAGUUUGGGUGCACUCUCCUUUUAGGGGCAUUAUGGAAGAGUGUGGUGGGGCAUAGGCCUUUUCAGACUUCGGAAGGUGCAGCUAGCCCUGCUUGCUAGUGAAGGUAUAGGUGGAGGGGGAUCAGGCUGCUGGGCAGAUCCUCAGCUGGGAGCAUUAAAGAAGGGCUAGCUGAAAGAGGGAAGGGGAAGUUUGUUAAAGAUGGACAACCUGAAAAGAGAAAGGUCAUGUCUUUUGUUUGUCUUACUUCCUUUGCUGAGGAGGAGUUUGAAUAAAGAACCUAUUUGGAACCUGGAAAGACGAUGGCUGAGACUCAUGCAAGCCCAACAGCAGGCACAAGUAGCUCACAGAGAGGUGCUUAGAUUUUCCAAGAAUACUCUAAUACACAUGCAGUUUGGUAGCAAGGUAGGAGUUUGGUAACAAAUAUGGCCAAGAAGUGGUUGUAUUAUGAAAAAAAAAAUGUUGUAUAAACCCAACUCAGUUAAUAUUUCUAGCUGAUAAUUAGUCAAGAGGACUGGGUUAACCCAGUAAUUAAAAGAGCUGCAUUUUAAUUUGGGCAGGCGCUUAAGUAAUAGGUGGCUAGUAAUAGGUGGUUAGUGGCUAAAGAAUAAAGACCAAUUGGAAGAACUUGGGUGCACAGGAGUCGGGGACUGCUGUAGGACAGCAGGGUUUGGAAGCAGCAAGGUCCAAGGGGUUUUUUUGUCCAGUUGAAAAUGUAAUAAAUUAGAAUUGCAAUUGGGAAAAAUACCUGGCUACUAUUUGGGACCUCUGAAGAAACAGUAAAAUAGCAAACUGGGUGAACAAAUAAGAUAAUUAUAAAUACAUUCAGAAGUCUUUCAUCAUACUAAGUUUUUGUGGAAAUUGCUUUAAAGAUUCUAGUUAUGAUGAGUCAGUUAAUGAGAUAAGAUGUAAGAAUGUUAGGCCCCUGGCAGACAUUACACUUAAGACAUGAUUAACCAAUUAAUCAUGUCUUCAAUAGUUAUCUAGCCGUGUAUCAUGCAAUGAAUGGCAAGAUAAAAUGGGGAAAAAAGCCACAAAAUUAUUUCACAGAAUAUGCGAGAUAAUAUUAUGGCUGGUUUCCAUCCUCCUUUAUACUGAACAUGUGAUAGGGUCCCUGCUAUGCAGCCUGCUGCCAGCUGCAUAGUGGGGCUGUGGGACCAGCUCCAAGGCUGGGAUUGCCAAUCAGCUGAUUGUCAGUCUUAGCCCCAGGAUCAUAUCAGAUCCAGUUCAAGAUCAGGGAAUUUGGGGGGGUGGCUGUAUUAAUGGCCACCACUCCCCUGCUGCCAUAUUUCUUGACUUGUGGAGAUUCUCGCGAGCCUCAUGCAAUGGCUCUGUGGGCCAUAGGUUGAACACCCUUGUUCUAGAAGGUUAAGUGACCCACUGGCACGCUAAACUACACAUUUUUUGAUUGAAAAGCUACUAGGUAAAGCGAGUUAACCAGAACAGUAGUAUCCCAAAUUUUUCAAUCUGUCAUUUCCCACAGGUCCUGUUCUUAUGCAGUCUUAAAAUAACAUUGUACAAAAGGAGAACCACACUUGCCAGCUGUGAAGUGGACAGGAGUCUGAUAGACUAGGGAAUGAGACAAUGAACUUAUUUGAAAUAAGUCACCCAACUGUUGUUGGGAGAUUAAAUUUUUAGGGCUGUUCUGUUCUGGGUGGGAUGUAACCUGACAAAUCAGAGAUGGGACACUUGAAUAUUCAAUGAUAUAAAAAGUCAGAAUGGAUGAUCUAAUGGCUUAUUUUGGCCUUAAUAUUCCAUGAAUCAGUCCACUAUGACCCAAGAUUUUAAUCUAGCAUUUCCAAAAUUUAAAAGCUGAACCUCAUUUCAGGAAAGAAGUCAAUCUGUGCCUUCCACAUUACUAAUAAGCCUACAUCCUAAUUUUUAAAUUGCUUGCCCAAUAUACCACUUCUCCAGUUAAUCUUCAGACUCAACUCUCCAUCUUUAUGGAAAAUACAGUAUAAAUCUUCAUACUACUCUUCUCCUUUUUUACAUUAUUGGUAUCUAUGCUAGCACCAAGUAAAAAAUGAAGUCAGUUCACAAUGCAGAAAGAAGCUCUCAGAAGACUCAAAUAAAUAUUGCAGCUUCAGAUACAUUCGCAUAAUGUUUGGAAGGUCAUCUCUGCAUCCACAGCCCCUUAAAAGACUUAAUUUCAAAAUUAGUAACUGAAAACAGAGAAAAAUCUUCUGCAUGUCACAAUGUAGAAAAUACUAACUCAAGCAAUUCAGGUAUACCUCACAAAAGUCCCAUCCAAUUAUAAAAAUCCAUGCAAGUUAUUCUUGAAACAUUCUUGCCCUAGCAUAUACAAUAAAUAGUUUGUUUAAAGUAACAUUUUAAAACUAUCUGCUUUUAAAAUGUUUAUACAGUUUCCUAUGUUAGUAUAAACCCUUUUAGCACAAAUAAAGUUAUACCAAUAAAAAAAGAUUUUUUUGUCAGUAAAACAUGCAACACCAAGCAGGUUUUGCCAUCCUAGACAGCUAUGCCAUUAAAAAAAUUACAUUCCUAUCAAUGGCCAACAUAGCUAUGUUAGCAGAAUUUAAAUAUAGGCCACACCUAAUAACGAUUAGUAGCUGCCUGCAGUAAUAGCUACCUUAAAGUCAAAAUCUUGAGUCUUUUGAUGUUGAUCAUCUAUAUAAAAAAAAUCACAAUUAAAGAGGAAAAACAUCUAGUUGAUGGGUUUAUUUCGUCUUAAAGAGUGGCCUGCAAGAAAAGCAGCAAAGGACUCGUGAAAUUGAUUUUUCCAUUCUAAAAGAAUUUAGCAUUGUAGUUUAUGGUGGUUAAACUGUCUUUUCAUUACCAAAAAGGAACUGUUCACCAUCUUGCCUGGUUGAAAAUUAAUAUUCAGGUAUAUUAAGAAAAAAUUAUCAUAAGCAAGCUCUUGCCUUUUUUGCCAAAUACAGAGGUGUAUUUUUAUUUGUUAUAGAAACUGUUAUACAAUUAAAGUGAUGUAUGCUCCAUUAAGCUGCUUUGGGCAAUAAACAUGAAUGUAAUGGUACUGUUUUGCAUUCAUAUCAUUCAUAACAACUUGAUUUUGGGGGGGGGGGGGGGGGGCAAGUAACACUUGCAAAUUAUAAUGUUGCUUCAUGUGUUUCCAUGCAUGUCAGCAAUGAUCAAAAUAAAAUCCUCACCUUGCACAUGAAGGAUUAUUUCAUGUUUAAUUCAUUUUUUACAGAUAUCAAUAUUUUGAGAACUGGAUGGACAUAAUGGGAGAGUACAAUGUGUGUCGGAGUUCUUAGGUAGGUCCAAAGUGAUCUAUAGUACUUGUUAGCACUGUGUUCAGAAACAUAUAUUUAAAAGGCCACGCGGUAAACUAGUAUGAAUGUCUGUUCUUUUUUAUAGUCUGUAGUCAUGUAUAUAUUUUUUUGGCUUUCAGAUUAAAAGAAUUAUGCAAGUCACACUUA